rnacentral:hammerhead_ribozyme from 1 species
AUCCAUCUGACGAGUCCCAAAUAGGACGAAACGCGCGUUCUGAAU